GCUGGGUGAGUGGGGGGAGGGGAUGGAUGCUGCUGGGUAGGUGAUUCGUAUGAUUCUAGUGGCGGUGGUGCAAAUUCAGCAGCAGCAGCAUCACCAGUGAGUGGAGCUGUGAGCGCACUGACGGCUGGCGUCGCCAGCAACUGCUCAAACAAGCGGAGACAUUUUCAGUAGCUGGGUAGCAGGGAUCGACUCCAGACGUGUCCACUAGAGAACGACAACACCUUCUUUCGCGUCAACGUUAUGGUUUUUUGUUUAUAAAAGGAAAGUGAGUAGAUCGCGUAAGGGGUAGGGCGAGGUAAAAUUAAUCUUAUAAAUGUGGCUGUAACAGACGGGAAUAUAAAGUGGGGGGGGAAAGAAGAUUUUUUUGGGAUCAUUGGUGUUAAGAGUCCCGGAAGACAAAACACAAUUAACGAAAGUAGGAGUAGUGAUAUUAGGGAGAGGAUUUCUUCUUGUCGUGGUAGGAGAUUCUUGGCCUUUGUCUUUUUUUAUUCCUCUCUUUCUCUUACCGUUCCUGUAAAGUAUAAGUAGCGUCCCAGAGGCUAAGGCCUAGGGUCAAAGGUUGAGGGUAUGAGGCAGACAACACAGGCGACUGCAACGCCUGAGGACCGUUGCUCGAACGAAGCUCCUAGUUCUUCCUUCUGGUUCCUACCGGGAGGUGGUUGUUGUUCCUGUCUUUGUAUUCCGAUCAGAAGACAACAGCAGCAGCAACAACAACAACAACAACAGCAGCAGCAGCAACGCCAUCCAUCGCCUCAGCAACCCCUGGCGACGGCGUCCCCGAACAACGCUGCAACCACCAGCAUGGUCCAGAUGUUCUACUACGAGAACAGAGGCAAAUGUUGUAAGAAGCUCCUUAGAUACAACGGGUACCCCAGCAAGGUGCUGCUGUUCCCAGAGGAGGGGUGGGCUCGAAGUGCUUCCUCCUCUUACUGGACCCUGACGCCAGCUUGGUGGAGUCGUAGUCGCUGCAAAGUCGUAGAAGUAGCUGGAACCAGAAGUCCGAUGGCCCUCAGUCCUCAAGGCGCUGCGCGUGGGUGUGUUUUUUCCUCGGAAGUCACACGAAUGGACUGAUGGCUGGCUCGCUUAAUUCGGUGCAAGGCAGUGGAUGUCGGAGGACUGCGCGUAGAUAUUUUUCAGCAUCAGUGGUAUCAUGUGAUUGAGCUCUUCACUGUAAAAUAUUGCUCAUAAGUUUCAUCCAUAAGCAAGGUGCUAAGAUUCGUCUUUUCCUGAGUGGAAAAACCUUUCUGCGACGUCUGCAUUAAUAAGGCACUCAAUUAGUGGGACACGUCAUGUGUGCUGACUUAAACACAUGAGGACGAGUGCGAAGGUUUCCAAACAACAGAGCAAACUUUUACAUGGGGCAGUACGACACCUUGUUGAAAGUCUCUGCGCAGCAAAGCACGACGACCUUGGCUGCAGAUGAGGAGUGACGGCGAUGUUGAACGCGUGCUACGGGGCAUUUGUUAUUCUUAUUACCUUUCUUGAUGAUUCAUUAUUGUUUGUCCCUUUUACUUUACUUUAAACAUAUUUAUACCCUGCGUCACCAAAUGCUUGUUUCAUUUACAAAAGUAUGAAACUGGUUUGGACGCAGGUUUGUACUCGGGGUGUUUAAACGUAAACUUUACGUGUGAAUUUCAUUUAGGACCGUAUCGGUUUUUGGUAACUCUCACUUUACACGAAGUUUAUAUUAAAAUUUAAUUUUUAUUACACUCCUUUGAAUAUGAAGUAUAUCGAAACAUGCUGUGAACGAGGUCUUUUGUUGUUUCAAAUACCAUUUUAUUAUACGAUGUUUAGUGGUAUUUCUGGUGAAUUGCCUUGAACACAGGAAAUUAAGAUGCAAUUGUUGCUUGGAAUUAAUUUACAGUUCUUGCAAGCUUAACUAGGGGUUACAACCGCUUGUCUGUGAGGUAUAGGCUUAUAUAUAAGAGGAAAUUGAUUAAUUCGUGACAAAUAUUUUUUUUUUAACUUACACAACAUUAAUUUACCAUAUUACAUGUAAGACUUAAUCCGUUGUGUCUAAGUCACCUUAAAAUAUCAGCGAUCUCAGUCGAUAUUUAUAUGUACAUGGAUUACGCUUACAAGGACUUCGUUAUCGAAUCGUUUGCUGAUGGCCGUUCAUCUGACUGAGAGUUAAUUGAAUUAUUGUUUAUUAGUUUAUAAUGAGCACUAUUUAUUAACAGAUUGUUGUUUUAUUUAUAUUUUUGUCGUGCAUUCUGAUGCAAUAUUGAAAGUAAUUAGAAAUUGUAUUAUAUUAUCCUUUGACCUUUAGCUAAAGAAACAAAUUUGUAUAACGUCGGUACACUGUCAGCGGUAAAUUAACGUCCCUGAAUAGAACUGCCUCAAAAUGGUUUUUCCAGUCACAAAUCGGUCAUGAACUGGAAAGCUUUUUGAUCCGAACUUGCUUUGGAACAUUUGCAUUGUACUUGUUUCCCUCUCUUUCUCUCUUUAUGCAUCUGUACUUGAUGUAUUUAGCAGAGAAUACAUUUCUGCUAGUUCAUUUUCACGGACUGAUAACCACAUUCUUGGAACGUUUUGCUCAAAGCUGUUAUAGUAACACUCCAUACAGGAGUCUCUUGAUGAAUUCUGAGUUGUUUAAAGUUUGUAACCGAUUUUAUAGUCAUGCUUUGAAAAUUGUAAUGUACGUCUGUUUGUUCCACGAUCUUCAAAAUUAAACCUGAAUGAUGUUUUUUAUCGCCGUUGAACAUCAAAUGCGAUGUGAUCUAGUUAAUGUUCUAAACAAAUUAGUUUGAACUUUAACCCUCAAUAAAUAUGAGUUAUAAGUUCA